UACAGAGGGUGCGAGCGUUGUCCGGAAUCACUGGGCGUAAAGGGCGCGUAGGUGGUGGCUUAAGCGUGCGGUGAAAGCUCGGGGCUCAACCUCGGAUCGGCCGUGGCGACUCGUGGGCUGGAGCACUGUAGAGGCGGGUGGAAUUCCGGGUGUAGCGGUGGAAUGCGUAGAGAUCCGGAAGAACACCAGUGGCGAAGGCGGCCCGCUGGGCAGUGGCUGACGCUGAGGCGCGACAGCGUGGGGAGCGAACAGG
rnacentral:rRNA from 1 species